CCUCCUCAACCUGCUGCGGGCAGAUGAAAUGGAUAUGCGCAUCGAUACCGCCUGCGGUGAGUAUCUGGCCUUCACCGGCAAUUACUUCAGUGCCGGGGCCGAUGACAAUAUCGACGCCGGGCUGGGUAUCCGGGUUACCGGCCUUGCCGAUAUGCAGAAUACGCCCAUCCUUGACGCCAACAUCGGCUUUGAUAAUGCCCCAGUGAUCGAUAAUCAGUGCAUUGGUGAUCACCAGAUCCGCUGUUUUGGCGCUGGGACACUGUGCCUGCCCCAUGCCGUCGCGAAUG
rnacentral:sRNA from 1 species